rnacentral:rRNA from 1 species
CCCUUAGAUGUCCGGGGCCGCACGCGCGCUACACUGAAGGAAUCAGCGUGGCUUUCUCCCUGACCCGAAAGGGUUGGGAAACCCGUUGAAUCUCCUUCGUGAUAGGGAUUGGGGCUUGAAAUUGUUCCCCAUGAACGAGGAAUUCCCAGUAAGCGCGAGUCAUAAGCUCGCGUUGAUUGCGUCCCUGCCCUUUGUACACACCGCCCGUCGCUACUACCGAUUGAACGGUUUAGUGAGGGCCUCGGAUUGGUCUCGGCCCGCUCUUUACCGGGCGGCGCCGUUGGUCGAGAAGACGCUCGAACUUGAUCGUUUAGAGGAAGUAAAAGCCGUAACA